UACAGAGGUCUCAAGCGUUGUUCGGAUUCAUUGGGCGUAAAGGGUGCGUAGGCGGCGCGGUAAGUCGGGUGUGAAAUCUCGGAGCUUAACUCCGAAACUGCAUUCGAUACUGCCGUGCUUGAGGACUGGAGAGGAGACUGGAAUUUACGGUGUAGCGGUGAAAUGCGUAGAUAUCGGGAGGAACACCUGAGGCGAGGGCGGGCUACUGGGCCGAUACUGACGCUGAUGCGCGAAAGCCAGGGGAGCAAACGGG
rnacentral:rRNA from 1 species